ensembl:snRNA U6 U6 spliceosomal RNA
GUGCUCACUUGGCAGCAUAUAUACUAAAAUUGGAAUGAUACAGAGAAGAUUAGCGUGGUCCCUGCGCAAAGAUGACAUGCAAAUUCGUGAAGCAUUCCAUAUUUUU